rnacentral:rRNA from 1 species
GAUGAACGCUGGCGGCGUGCCUAAUACAUGCAAGUCGAACGCUGGAACUCUAGCUUGCUAGCUUGAAGGAGUGGCGAACGGGUGAGUAAUACAUAAGCAACCUACCCACGAAGACUGGGAUAAUCUCUGGAAACGGGGACUAAUACCGGAUAGGUAAUCGGAAGGCAUCUUCUGAUUAUUAAAGGUUAAAAACACUGGUGGAUGGGCUUAUGGCGCAUUAGUUAGUUGGUGAGGUAACGGCCCACCAAGACGAUGAUGCGUAGCCGGCCUGAGAGGGUGAACGGCCACAUUGGGACGGAGACACGGCCCAGACUCCUACGGGAGGCAGCAGUAGGGAAUUUGCGGCAAGGGGGGAAACCCUGACCGAGCAACGCCGCGUGAGUGAUGACGGCCUUCGGGUUGUAAAGCUCUGUUGUAAGGGAAGAACGGUAGAUAGAGAACAUCUAAAUGACGGUACCUUACCAGAAAGCCACGGCUAACUACGUG